AGUGUGCGUGCAAGCCAUUGAGCAAUAAAAUAACUAGAAGCGCUUUGCGCUGUUAACGGCGCAGGCGCGUUACUUCCUCCUAGAGCUCUCUUCGGUGUGUUUGCGUUGUGUCUAAACUGCCGGCGAGUUUAACAAAAUAUUUUACCAAUAGCAGCUAUGUCGGGCAGGUCGGUCCGCGCGGAGACACGGAGUAGGGCGAAAGAUGACAUCAAGCGGGUUAUGGCUGCUGUUGAGAAAGUACGAAAUUGGGAGAAGAAAUGGGUAACUGUCGGCGACACAUCCUUGCGAAUCUACAAGUGGGUGCCUGUGACCGAACCUAAGUCAAAUGAUAGCAAAAAUAAGAAGAAAGCCAACAAUGACAAGUAUGGGUCGGAGAUCACAACACCAGAAAACAGCUCCUCUCCCGGAAUGAUGGAUAUGCAUGAUGAUAACAGUAACCAGAGCUCCAUUGCUGACUGCUCUCCCAUGAAGCAGGAGAACAGCAACAGUGCCAGCCCUACCCAAGAGGCCAUGGCAACUUCCCAGAGUGACAGCAUCGAGGCCAAGAGUGACCAGAGUCAGUCCCCUGGCAAAGAGCAGCUGAAGAGCACAGACAGCAAGAGUGGAAAUGUUCACCCCUCAGCAUUUUCAAACACAAGCACACCUAAGAGAGACCGAAGGUCCACAGGAAGGAAUGAACCAUCCUCGGACUCUCCUCAAGAUUCUCAGUUACCAGAGCUCAACCCAAUUGAACACUUGAGAGAUUCUGGAGCGGUGCCAGAGACUGCAUUUUCCACCACAAUCAACAAACACCAGAUGGAAUUUCUCGUGGAGGAAUGGUGUCACCUCCAAUAGCGUACAUUCUACAAGUGUCUGGAACUUUAAGGCGCAUUGAAGCUGUUCUGGCAGGCCGUGGUGGCCCAACACCCUAAGACACUAAGAAUCUGAAGAUGGCACUCCUCCCAAUAAGAAGGGGAAGUUGGAUUUCCUCAAAAGUAGCUAACUUAUCUUUUACCAUCACCAAUUCCUUGAUCUGUUGCCAUGUCCUCAGCCCUCCUGUGUCUUAAUUUCUUUAUUCUUCUGAAUUGGUCCAAGUGGAGUCCAGCACCCACCUCUACCCCAAAAAAGACUUUAAAACUUAAACUAAACCAGGAUCAGCUGGAUGGGGCAGUGUCGACCUAAACUGCAGCUAAAUCUCAUUUUGCCACACAUCCGCUAUUUUUGUUCUUAAGUAUAUGUACAUAUAUUUAGAUUUAGUUUUUGUUCAUGCGGGUCAACACACUGUUUGAAUCCUCUUCAAAUCUGUUGGUUCUGCUGCUGUUCUGUUUAUUACUUUGACAGUAAAACAUUUAGUUAAUUUAACUAAAGACAACACCUACAUAUUUAGUGCCACUCAGUCAGUCGCAUAUCUAUUUCCUUUUCUCCUCUUAUGGAAACUCACUUGUAGCAUAGUCCUGCUACCAGAUUAGUUGUGUACCUUGAAUUACCAGAAUAAUGAAAAACGUGUUGAUUUGUUUAAAUCGUAUGUAUACUUCACUCUGGUAUAACAAGUGCUCAGUUUUCGUUAACCUGUAAAGCAUUUUUCAGUGUAUAUGUAGGCUGUUUGGUUAUAGAUGGCUCUUUGAAUACCUCACUGGAGUCCAGCAGUGCUGGCAACACUAUGUAUAGAUUAUUAAACUAAGUAUAACCUUUUAUUUGCAAAAUGUAAGUAGCCUAAAUAGUUGUUUCCUCGUUAGCCUUUGCCCAACUAAAAUGCCUUUUUAAAUUAUAGCCUGGCUACAGAAAGUCAAAUGUUGACUAUUGUCUUUUGGGA